UACGUAGGGUCCAAGCGUUAUCCGGAAUCACUGGGCGUAAAGCGUGCGUAGGUGGCGUGUUAAGUGUGAUGUUAAAUCGUGGGGCUCAACCCUGUCGGUGCAUCACAUACUGGCAUGCUAGAGGACAGCAGAGGCAAGUGGAAUUUGUAGUGUAGCAGUGAAAUGCGUAGAUAUUUACAAGGAAACACCAAUGGCGAAGGCAGCUUGCUGGGCUACUCCUGACACUGAGGUACGAAAGCGUGGGGGAGCGAACAGG
rnacentral:rRNA from 1 species